GUGCCAGCAGCCGCGGUAAUACGUAGGUGGCAAGCGUUGUCCGGAUUUAUUGGGCGUAAAGCGAGCGCAGGCGGUCUUUUAAGUCUGAUGUGAAAGCCCCCGGCUUAACCGGGGAGGGUCAUUGGAAACUGGGAGACUUGAGUGCAGAAGAGGAGAGUGGAAUUCCAUGUGUAGCGGUGAAAUGCGUAGAUAUAUGGAGGAACACCAGUGGCGAAGGCGGCUCUCUGGUCUGUAACUGACGCUGAGGCUCGAAAGCGUGGGGAGCAAACAGGAUUAGAUACCCUGGUAGUCC
rnacentral:rRNA from 1 species